rnacentral:rRNA from 1 species
UACAGAGGGUGCGAGCGUUGUCCGGAAUCACUGGGCGUAAAGGGCGCGUAGGCGGUGACUUAAGCGUGUGGUGAAAGCUCGGGGCUCAACCCCGAGUCGGCCGUGCGAACUGGGUCACUGGAGCAGAUCAGAGGCAGGCGGAAUUCCGGGUGUAGCGGUGGAAUGCGUAGAGAUCCGGAGGAAUACCGGUGGCGAAGGCGGCAUCCUGGACCGGCAUUGACGCUGAGGAGCGAAAGCCAGGGGAGCAAACGGG